rnacentral:rRNA from 1 species
UACGUAGGGGGCUAGCGUUGUCCGGAAUCAUUGGGCGUAAAGCGUGCGUAGGCGGCCCGGUAAGUCCGCUCUGAAAGUCCAGGGCUCAACCCUGGAAAGCGGGUGGAUACUGCCGGGCUAGAAUCCGGAAGAGGCGAGUGGAAUUCCUGGUGUAGCGGUGGAAUGCGCAGAUAUCAGGAGGAACACCAAUAGCGAAGGCAGCUCGCUGGGACGGUAUUGACGCUGAGGCGCGAAAGCGUGGGGAGCGAACAGG